rnacentral:rRNA from 1 species
AGGGGAAUAUUGCACAACGGGCGCAAGCCUGAUGCAGCCAUGCCGCGUGUGUGAAGAAGGCCUUCGGGUUGUAAAGCACUUUCAGCGGGGAGGAAGGCGGUGAGGUUAAUAACCUCACCGAUUGACGUUACCCGCAGAAGAAGCACCGGCUAACUCCGUGCCAGCAGCCGCGGUAAUACGGAGGGUGCAAGCGUUAAUCGGAAUUACUGGGCGUAAAGCGCACGCAGGCGGUCUGUCAAGUCGGAUGUGAAAUCCCCGGGCUCAACCUGGGAACUGCAUUCGAAACUGGCAGGCUAGAGUCUUGUAGAGAGAGGUAGAAUUCCAGGUGUAGCGGUGAAAUGCGUGGAGAUCUGGAGGAAUACCGGUGGCGAAGGCGGCCCCCUGGACGAAGACUGACGCUCAGGUGCGAAAGCGUGGGGAGCAAACAGG